UAAUCCUCAUUCACUGCAUUGAUCUGCAUUAACCUGUGUGCUCAACUUCGAUUUAAUAGCAAAGGCGUUACAUAACAGAGGUAUUAAUUAAAGGUCAAUUCGCCUUGCAGCUGUUUAUUUAUGUCUGGAUAUAUCCUCCUCUAGAGAGCCUCGCACUCAGAUGAAAUUGAAACAAAGAGUGACCUACAAUAGAUGUCGUGCUAGUAAAGCGUGUUAAGCUGCCUGUGGCGAUUCUUGCUAUUGUGUUUGUGUUGUGUUUGACUGCAGCCAUCAGCAGCGAUUACCUCCUAGUGAUGAUAACUGAGUAUGAGGUGUAUAUAUUAUAUCUAGAUGACGAGCCUAAGCAAACGAUCAACCAGUUCGCGCCGACACGCCAACAAUCACUACCCUUAGGGCCUGUUUCACCAAUUGUGGAUAUUUGACGGAUGACGGUAUUCAAGAGAUAAAAGUUUUUAGCAUAUUAUUCUUUUUUACCAUCGAACUCCACUAUAUUUAUGAGAAAUUUCGAAAACGUGAAUAAAAAAGUUGAAGUUUA